rnacentral:lncRNA from 1 species
CUGUAAAAAUCUACUCAUCCAAAGUUCAUAAAUGCUAAUGUGCCCCGCAGCCUGACGAUGAUUGAUGGUCGGUCGUCUCAGACGCCAGGGCGAUGGCGAAGGCGAAGGCGAAGGAAGAAAGUUUCUGGGCGGAUGAGCGGGUUUGAGAGGGUUCUCCCAUUUGCCGCACAGAAUGCGCAAAAUUAUGCGGACAACACAAAAACCAGGAUCAAUCCUUGAUGAAAUGUAUACAUUUCGCCUUUAUUCUCCUGCCGUGGUUGCUCUGGCCAAUGCUCC